rnacentral:rRNA from 1 species
AGAGUUUGAUCCUGGCUCAGGAUGAACGCUGGCGGCGUGCUUAACACAUGCAAGUCGAACGGGAAACCUUUUAUUGAAGCUUCGGCAGAUUUAAUUUGUUUCUAGUGGCGGACGGGUGAGUAACGCGUGGGUAACCUGCCCUAUACAGGGGGAUAACAACCAGAAAUGGUUGCUAAUACCGCAUAAGCGCACAGAACCGCAUGGUCCGGUGUGAAAAACUCCGGUGGUAUAGGAUGGACCCGCGUUGGAUUAGCCAGUUGGCAGGGUAACGGCCUACCAAAGCGACGAUCCAUAGCCGGCCUGAGAGGGUGAACGGCCACAUUGGGACUGAGACACGGCCCAGACUCCUACGGGAGGCAGCAGUGGGGAAUAUUGCACAAUGGGGGAAACCCUGAUGCAGCGACGCCGCGUGAAGGAAGAAGUAUCUCGGUAUGUAAACUUCUAUCAGCAGGGAAGAUAGUGACGGUACCUGACUAAGAAGCCCCGGCUAACUACGUGCCAGCAGCCGCGGUAAUACGUAGGGGGCAAGCGUUAUCCGGAUUUACUGGGUGUAAAGGGAGCGUAGACGGAUUAGCAAGUCUGAUGCGAAAGGCAGGGGCUCAACCCCUGGACUGCAUUGGAAACUGCCAGUCUUGAGUGCCGGAGAGGUAAGCGGAAUUCCUAGUGUAGCGGUGAAAUGCGUAGAUAUUAGGAGGAACACCAGUGGCGAAGGCGGCUUACUGGACGGCAACUGACGUUGAGGCUCGAAAGCGUGGGGAGCAAACAGAAUUAGAUACCCUGGUAGUCCACGCCGUAAACGAU